rnacentral:rRNA from 1 species
GAUGAACGCUGGCGGCGUGCCUAAUACAUGCAAGUCGAGCGAACAGACGAGGAGCUUGCUCCUCUGACGUUAGCGGCGGACGGGUGAGUAAAACGUGGAUAACCUACCUAUAAGACUGGGAUAACUUCGGGAAACCGGAGCUAAUACCGGAUAACAUGUUGAACCGCAUGGUUCAACAGUGAAAGAAGGUCUUGCUGUCACUUAUAGAUGGAUCCGCGCCGCAUUAGCUAGUUGGUAAGGUAACGGCUUACCAAGGCAACGAUGCGUAGCCGACCUGAGAGGGUGAUGGGCCACACGGGAACGGAGACACGGUCCAGACUCCUACGGGAGGCAGCAGUAGGGAAUCUUCCGCAAUGGGCGGAAGCCUGACGGAGCAACGCCGCGUGAGUGAAGAAGGUCUUCGGAUCGUAAAACUCUGUUAUUAGGGAAGAACAAAUGUGUAAGUAACGAUGCACGUCUUGACGGUACCUAAUCAGAAAGCCACGGCUAACUACGUG